UAGAGUUUGAUCCUGGCUCAGAUUGAACGCUGGCGGCAGGCCUAACACAUGCAAGUCGAGCGGUAACAGAAAGUAGCUUGCUACUUUGCUGACGAGCGGCGGACGGGUGAGUAAUGCUUGGGAACAUGCCUUGAGGUGGGGGACAACAGUUGGAAACGACUGCUAAUACCGCAUAAUGUCUACGGACCAAAGGGGGCUUCGGCUCUCGCCUUUAGAUUGGCCCAAGUGGGAUUAGCUAGUUGGUGAGGUAAUGGCUCACCAAGGCGACGAUCCCUAGCUGGUUUGAGAGGAUGAUCAGCCACACUGGGACUGAGACACGGCCCAGACUCCUACGGGAGGCAGCAGUGGGGAAUAUUGCACAAUGGGCGCAAGCCUGAUGCAGCCAUGCCGCGUGUGUGAAGAAGGCCUUCGGGUUGUAAAGCACUUUCAGUCAGGAGGAAAGGUUAGUAGUUAAUACCUGCUAGCUGUGACGUUACUGACAGAA
rnacentral:rRNA from 1 species